ACGGGUGAGUAACACGUGGGAACGUACCCUUCGGUUCGGAAUAACGCUGGGAAACUAGCGCUAAUACCGGAUACGCCCCUAUGGGGAAAGGUUUACUGCCGAAGGAUCGGCCCGCGUCUGAUUAGCUAGUUGGUGGGGUAAUGGCCUACCAAGGCGACGAUCAGUAGCUGGUCUGAGAGGAUGAUCAGCCACACUGGGACUGAGACACGGCCCAGACUCCUACGGGAGGCAGCAGUGGGGAAUAUUGGACAAUGGGCGCAAGCCUGAUCCAGCCAUGCCGCGUGAGUGAUGAAGGCCUUAGGGUUGUAAAGCUCUUUUGUCCGGGACGAUAAUGACGGUACCGGAAGAAUAAGCCCCGGCUAACUUCGUGCCAGCAGCCGCGGUAAUACGAAGGGGGCUAGCGUUGCUCGGAAUCACUGGGCGUAAAGGGCGCGUAGGCGGCCAUUCAAGUCGGGGGUGAAAGCCUGUGGCUCAACCACAGAAUUGCCUUCGAUACUGUUUGGCUUGAGUAUGGCAGAGGUCAGUGGAACUGCGAGUGUAGAGGCGAAAUUCGUAGA
rnacentral:rRNA from 1 species